CCUACGGGAGGCAGCAGUGGGGAAUAUUGGUCAAUGGUCGCAAGCCUGACCCAGCAACGCCGCGUGAAGGAAGAAGGCUUUCGGGUUGUAAACUUCUUUUAAUGGGGAAGAGCAGAAGACGGUACCCCUUGAAUAAGCCACGGCUAACUACGUGCCAGCAGCCGCGGUAAUACGUAGGUGGCAAGCGUUGUCCGGAUUUACUGGGUGUAAAGGGCGUGCAGCCGGAGAGACAAGUCAGAUGUGAAAUCCACGGGCUCAACCCGUGAACUGCAUUUGAAACUGUUUCCCUUGAGUGUCGGGGAGGUAAUCGGAAUUCCUUGUGUAGCGGUGAAAUGCGUAGAUAUAAGGAAGAACACCAGUGGCGAAGGCGGAUUACUGGACAGUAACUGACGUUGAGGCUCGAAAGCGUGGGGAGCAAACAGGAUUAGAUACCCCUGUAGUU
rnacentral:rRNA from 1 species